rnacentral:rRNA from 1 species
UACAGGGGGGGCAAGCGUUGUUCGGAAUUACUGGGCGUAAAGGGUUCGUAGGUGGCUUACUAAGUCAGACGUGAAAUCCCUCAGCUUAACUGGGGAACUGCGUCUGAUACUGGAAAGCUUGAGUGCAGGAGAGGAACGCGGAAUUCCAGGUGUAGCGGUGAAAUGCGUAGAUAUCUGGAGGAACACCGGUGACGAAGGCGGCGUUCUGGACUGCAACUGACACUGAUGAACGAAAGCCAGGGGAGCAAACGGG